UUUGAUAUUUGGUUUGGUCCGUUGGUUGAGUGGUGAGAGGUAAAUGUGAGAGAUUUUUGUGACAAAUAACCCAUAAUUUAGUCAAAUAAAGGGGGGAAAUAGUUGCGUGAUGCCCCCAGACUAGCGGAUGUUGUUCCUCUUACUGAUUUUAGAGAAUUUUCCCCCUAAAAUGGGCAUUGGAGAUGCUUUUACUAUUAGUGCUGGUUGGGAGACACAGACCCAGGGUUUGACAGUUGGUUUAGUCCGUUGGUUGGUAAACUGGUGAAUGUACUAUCCCUAUAAGAGAUUUAGGGGCUUACAGCAAAUAUACACUUUUUCCCAAUUGAAGCCCAUAAACAGAUAACAUUUGGGGACCCCUGUGCCAGACUAACAGAUAUUGAUUAUGUUACUGAUGUUAUUAAAUUUCCCCCUCAAAUGGACAAUGCCUUUACUUUUAGUGCUGGCUGGGAAAUGCAGACCCAGGGUUUGACAGUUGGUUUAGUCCGUUGGUUGGUAGAGUGGUGAAUGUACUAUCCCUAUAAGAGAUUUUUUUGCCAAAUAAUCCUUAUUUUAGUGAAAAGGGGGGUGAUAAAUGUUUGAUACCCCCAAGACUAGCGGAUGAUGCUCCUCUCAUUGAUUUCAGAGAUUUUGGAGAGUUUACCCCUAAAAUGGGCUUUGGAUAUGCUUUUACUCUUAGAGCUGGUUGGGAGACACAGACCCAGGGUUUGACAGUUGGUUUAGUCCAUUGGUUGGUAGAGUGGUGAGGGGCUGACAGCAAAUAUACACUUUUUCCCAAUUGAAGCCCAUAAACAGAUGACAUUUGGGGACCCCUGUACCUCACUAUAAAUACUUUAUUUGUAUGACCAGUAUUAACAGGCUCCUUACAGUUUUGCCCCUCUGCCCCUGGGUAUCUAACCUGUUCUGAUAUACCAACCUUAACAUGAAUUUAAUGGAAUACAUAGCAAUGUCUUUUCCUUUCAUGUCUCAUGUGCAUUCCCUUCAAAUGUCCCGGCUGUGGGGGGCAACAGGGUACAUGGUAGGGCAGUAUUGAUUCCAAUCAGAUUUAAUUGCUAUUCUGUAAAUGUUUCCUAUAGCAGGGGGUGGGCAAUCUGCACCUGGCCAGUGAUCUUAUGUACUAUGUAUUCAUACUCUCUAUACCAAUGCUCAUUUCUGAUUGGCUGCUGGGAGGUACUGCAUUGUACAAACUGAGUGCCAGUAAACGCUGGGAGUGACACAAAGCUCACGUUUAGAUCUCUGCUUUCCUCUAUAUUUUAUAGGAAAUAUUAAGUUAAGUGUUAAAAGCAUUAUCCUUGAAACUAAUUUGUCAAUUUAUUCUCUUCCCUAUACAGAUUGCUACAGUGGACGGAUUGCUACUUUUUUGGCAAAUUACCAGCUCUUUUUGGACUGUGUUUUUUCCUGGCUUCUCCUUAGUUCAGAUUUUAACAUUCUUUUCUGAACACAUAUAAGGAGAGCCAGCGUCUAAAGAGGGAGACCCUCUGGGGUCCCCCGGCCUUGUGCCGGCCCCUCUAUUUAAGCCAAAAGCCAAAAACACCUAAGGCGUUUUGGUAUUUUUUUUUUGCUUUUUAUUUUUGAAGAUCUGACAUCUGAGCUUCUUUUAAGAGGAGUCUCAAGAUGGGUGUCCGGAAUUCCUGCAUUCGUGCUACCAAUCCGGACAAUCAUGAGGUUUUGUCUCCAAAACUUUGUGAUAUGCAGCCAAGGUUACAUCUAUUGGCCAAUAAAGAGCAGGUAAUGGGAGAAAUAAAGAAGGAGAUGCGCAUUGCAGCGGGC